UACGGAGGGUGCAAGCGUUGUUCGGAUUUACUGGGCGUAAAGCGCACGUAGGCGGUUUGUUAAGUCAGGGGUGAAAUCCCGGAGCUCAACUCCGGAACUGCCUUUGAUACUGGCAGCUAGAGUCCGGAAGAGGUAAGUGGAACUCCUAGUGUAGAGGUGGAAUUCGUAGAUAUUAGGAAGAACACCAGUGGCGAAGGCGGCUUACUGGUCCGGAACUGACGCUGAGGUGCGAAAGCGUGGGGAGCAAACAGG
rnacentral:rRNA from 1 species